UGGGGAAUUUUGGACAAUGGGCGAAAGCCUGAUCCAGCAAUGCCGCGUGUGUGAAGAAGGCCUUCGGGUUGUAAAGCACUUUUGUCCGGAAAGAAAUCCUUGGCUCUAAUACAGUCGGGGGAUGACGGUACCGGAAGAAUAAGCACCGGCUAACUACGUGCCAGCAGCCGCGGUAAUACGUAGGGUGCAAGCGUUAAUCGGAAUUACUGGGCGUAAAGCGUGCGCAGGCGGUUUGCUAAGACCGAUGUGAAAUCCCCGGGCUCAACCUGGGAACUGCAUUGGUGACUGGCAGGCUAGAGUAUGGCAGAGGGGGGUAGAAUUCCACGUGUAGCAGUGAAAUGCGUAGAGAUGUGGAGGAAUACCGAUGGCGAAGGCAGCCCCCUGGGCCAAUACUGACGCUCAUGCACGAAAGCGUGGGGAGCAAAACAGGAUUAGAUACCCUGGUAGUCCACGCCCUAAAACGAUGUCAACUAGUUGUUGGGGAUUCAUUUCCUUAGUAACGUAGCUAACGCGUGAAGUUGACCGCCUGGGGAGUACGGUCGCAAGAUUAAAAACUCAAAGGAAUUGACGGGGUCAUAGCUG
rnacentral:rRNA from 1 species